ACUUGUUAACCCUAAUCAAUGUUUCGCGCCUUGGAUCGAAUCCUCGAAGAAAGGUCGUAAGAUCGAAGUGGGCGAUGAGAGGGCGAUUUUCAACGCGGGGAGCCCAAUCCGACGCUCAGAUCGCUCCACUUGAUCGAGUUCCCCAGUGAUUUCCCGCUGGUACUCAAGACUAAGUGGCAGUUGUUUGCUUUGCUUUGGAGGUAAACUUUUGAAAAUUGAUUAAGGCAACGGGCGUGGUACGAAUAUGUGAAGGCGCACGGAGUACGACCACACAAAACUCUGUCAAGUACCUUUCUACAUUGCUUCAACUGCUCACCAUUAAGCAAUUGCAGGAGGAUAAUUAUGCGGGGCAAGCAAAAGCAGAUGAGUAAAAAAAAUAUGCAAGCUUUUUUCUCUCCAACUCUCUCUCUCCCUCCUCAGAUAUCCACACUGUUACACUGCACCGGAGGAUUACCCUAGAUUUCCAUGAGCAGACAGGGUUGUCCCCAUUUGUAUUGCAUCGGAAUGUGAAUAGGGAGAAGGCAUAACACUAUUGUCAUUUAAGAGGGUGUCUGUGUAUGUAUGUGUCACCCUCCUUGACAAGGUCAAGGCAACAGUGCGGCCUUCUACCACUACUGUUUCUCUUAUUCUUCUCAAUGUUUAAUAGUUAAUGAUGGUGCGUGGACAUGGCACAGAGAUAUAUAGAGGAUGAUGUGCGACAUAAGGUAGCACUGUUUGGAGGGGCCUUGGAUGCUGUAAGCAGACAGGGGGAGACAAGGGGUUCUGCUGUCCACAUGUGCCCUUUCCUUCCUAGAGCAGGUUAGCUAUGGCCUGAGGUGGAAGAUGAAUUGAUUGAGAUAUUAUCAUUACCUCCGCAUCAACCUCCUGCAGAUUUCACAAUUGGUUAGUUAUCUACACAACUAAGUUUGAAGGGCUUUUCCAUAUAUGUGUGUGUGAUAAAAAGUGAGUCAAUACUUAGAAGUCUUUGAAAUCCGUGCUAUGACAUGCUUAUGCAUGAACGCAUGCAAUGCUCGGAAUUCAAAGCAUUGCCAUGGGGAUGGGCGUGGUUUCUUCUUCAACGCUGCUUCCUCAUUUGUCUGCUUAAAAUUCGACAGGAACAACACCACCAAAACCAGGGCGAUGUCAAUGUUUGUUUUAUGAUUCCGAUGGCCUCAUGCCCUCUAUAUCCCAUUUCCAUUUCCCCAGAACUUGACCUUUGCAUUUCCUUUUAGAUUUACCGUUCCUUUUAAAUUAAAUUAAAUAAGCAAGUCUAGAUAUGGAACAAUAUUCGAGACAUGCAUGCGUUUAUAUAUCUUUUUAAUAUUCAAUCCUCACUAGUGCUUGCCCUCCAUUUUAACGUAGAUUUGGGGCUCAAAUUACUAAUAUAUGCGAUCUGCACCUUUUAGUUCCGUGGUUCUAGGGUUUAAAAUAUUUCCUAUCAUUUAGUAGAAUGCAAAAGUGUAGAAAAUUGUUUGUUGGAAGUAAUUGGCAAUGGUAAUUUGAUGCCUUAGUUUUAAGACAAUAAAUUGAGUCAGCUAUUUUUUUGUUCAGGAUACAGUGUAGCAUUCAAUAUUUACUAUUAGAACUUGAUUUAUGAGGAAUAGCAUUUGACAGCACCAAGUACAUCUUAUUAAUUGCUUUGAUGUUAAUUCUUAGCCUUUCUACUUAUAGUCACUACUAUCUAACCAAUUAUGCUUGGAAAUUUAUUAAUGAAGCAUUUGCGCUUGCUUAUAUUGUCAAAAUCAUAAUCUGAUUAGACACAAAAUUCAGGGCAUCUGCUAUAGCUAACACUGUUGCGCAGUUACCUUAUUUGUUGUAGUAAAUUUUGUCUAAACUAGUGCUUGCAAUAGGUUCUUUUAUUUGUCGCAUAAUCCAUGUAAUUUUUUUUUACAUGUAUUUGCGAUGAUUAUGCUGUAGCUAACUGUUGUAUUUUUUAUUCUAAAAAAAAAUUGUUCUCGAUAUCAAUUAGAUUGUCACAGAUGCAAUCUUAUAAUCCUUAUGUAUGAAUCUAAAGUGGAAGAACUUGCUCUCAAGUAAUGGUACAACGGCAGGAUAUUUUUUUUUUUAAUUUUAAGGCAUCUAAAUUAAUAAAUGAAUUUUUUUUAAUAGGCGGUUGAUCUAAAAACUCUGGAUUGAUAGGUCAUCCUUUACGAGCACUUCUUGAUUUAUCCUGGUGGUCGGUGAAAAAUUUUCUUAAAACCAGACUGGUCACCUAGGAUUAAUCGGUAUAAAAUGAAUAUUUGGUGCCAACUAAAAAAAUAAAAGACCUUAUAAUAAUUUGUUUGAUUGAAUCAAAAGGUAGAUUAUCAAUCUUCAAAAAUCAAUUUGGAAACUUGAAUUAUAAAAAAAAAAUUUACAAACAUGGCGACGCGAGGAUGGGACAAGAUUUUUAGUCUUGCUUUGCCUCACCUCGUUUUAUAAUAUAUUUUAUUGCCCUAUUUUGAACUGGAAUCACAAAACAAGCGGAAUUAUGCAAGAAAAAGAAAGAAAAACUCCUCCAAUAACAUGCUUCACUCACCCUGUUUUACCUCACCUGCCUCUGAGGAUGGGAAUUUUCUAAUUUUUUAUUGUCCAUUCUUUAAUUCUAGAUAAAUAAUUUGAAUGUUGAAAAGAAAAAUAAAAUAGAUUAUCAUUGAUUUUUUACACCAUUAAGUAAUAUUUAUCUUUUACACAGAACAUAUUUGAUCUCUCAGAAUAAAAAAAAUAUGUAUUAUGCAAAAUAAUUAAGAGAAGAGCAACAGGAAACAAUGCAGUGUUUCUGUAACCAAACAAGCAACACCCAUGCCCACCCCAUCCUCAACUCAAGAUAUUAUUAAAAAUAUAUUCGGACAACCCGAUAAGUGAAUCAGAUGGAGGGCUGUCUAUCUCCAGAUUAAUUAUAUUCUUAAUAAAAAUUGCUAUGACAUAGAAUCCACUUAAACAACCUCAUAAUUAGGAGAUUACUUAGUGCCAUGGUUAAAUUGUUAACCCAAUUGUGAUUUACUUUGUCUCAACUAAUUUACAUUAUAUAUGCGUGUAAAGAUUCUUUUUUUUUUAAAUCAAAUUUGUUGAAUUAUGUAUAUUUAGUCUAGUUUGGAAGUGACUUGUUACAAAGUAGGAUAAGAUUGUGUAUAAUAGAUCUAUCCUUGGGAUUCCGUAUUGGUAGAAGUUUCGUGUACUCGACUGCCUUUUUUAUAUAUAUUUAGUCGGGUCCCGAUAAAUCUAAUUUCAAAUUAUGGUGCAUGUCCAUGAGAUGAUCAUCUUUUUUACCAUGAACUCAUAACACCCAGAGAGCUUUGCUCAAGCUUCACAAAGUUCUUUCCUCUGCUAUAUUAGAUAACAGAUACACAUCUGAAAGCCAGACAAGAAGAAUAAUUUAUAUGUAUAUCUCUAGGUUUUAGCGUGCAGUAGUGCUGCAAGGAACAAAGAGACAAAAAGAAAGCAUGAAGGGUGUGUCAGAUCAAUUUUAAUUAUAGACCUAGUAGCUUAACCUCACUCUGUGCUGCUGCUUCUCCUCCUGCUGCUGCACCUGCACUGACUGCACCCCACAACACACUGAGCCAUGGAUGAAUGGAUUCAUUGUGGUCUGAUAUGACUUGUCGAAAAGCCUUCUUUUGACUACUGCUCCGUCUCCCCAACAAUCUCAGACACAUUUAAGAGCCCGUCUCAUAAUUGUUAUUUGGUCGCCAUAAAAUAUAUGCUUGAGUUGAUACAGAUUCUUUCUCUCUACUAGUCCUUAAAGCAAGCUAAUCAUUUGAGUUGAAUAUUUCCUUGUAUAUGUUCCAUCCAUUAACUGCCACUAAAAAAAUGGAAAAGUAAGCAAAGCACAAAAGCAUCCGGAAAGAAAAGCUGGGAUUGGUGCAGGGAAAAGGCAUAUGCAUGCAGUUAACUGAGGAUUAUUAUGAUUCUACUUAUCAGACUGAGGAUUUCGCUAUAGUGCAGGCUUCAUCUUGUGUGUGUUAUCAAACUGCAUGCUGCAGCAGCUGCAUGACUCAUCACUUCAACUGGAGGAAUGGGAAUAAAGGGUGGGAGGAAGGAAGGAAUGAUGCAUUCUGCAGCAGCUUCUAAAGCACACCAAGAACAGCAAAAAAGGUUGGGGAUUCUUUGUCUGGGUGAGUCUGAGAAAAAGCUGGAAAUUUAAAAGCAAAAGAAGUGCAUUUGAUUAAUUAGUAGAGAUAUUUUUUAAAAAAAAGUUGUUUUUUAAUAGUUUUUCCAAGACCUUUUCUAUUCUUAUACAUUUUAUAUUAUAUAUUGAUUUUUAUUGAAGGUGAGUUUGUCACAACGGUAAAAUUACUAUGGUAUAAUUAGAAGGUAGUAGAAAAAAGUCUCUUGCAAUACUGUUUGUAAUAGAUCUAGUGUGAUUCAAUCAUUUUUUAGGAUUCUAU